GACACGCUCAACACAAACUGGAGGUGGAACUGGAGCAGAGCGGUGUGCAGCUGCAGGACGUCCAGCAGGAGAGAGACUCGCUGCUACACCAGCUGCGUUCACAGAGCGACGGUCACCAGCGGAGCCUCGGCCGUCUGAACAGGAAACUACGGCAGCUCAGCAGGUCCAUGUGUGACUCUGAUCAGCUGACAGCAGAGCAGCUGAGAGCGCUGGC